UAGGUCUGACGACUUACUGUGAUGAGUUA
rnacentral:sRNA from 1 species